AGCAGAGCCUGGCCACUGGUAGAUCUGAAACUGACAGUACUGCAGGUAACUUUUGAUCUCUUGAUAUAAUUUGAACAAAAUCUGUUUCACAGUUACUGUACUUUACCUUUAAUGCAUGAUAACUCCAUUUCUACUCUUCUCAGGUACACAAAUCAAUUCUGGCACCCAAAUCCAAGGUGAUAACGUGACGAUUAAUGUAAGUGAUGGCGCCAGUUACUAUGGCCCCAUCAUACGUAACUCAACAAUGCAGAGCAGCGAAAUGAAUGCGAAUAUUGGGUCCAACAAAAAUAAGGAGGACACCAACAGCACUGCAGAUAAUCAGGAGUCUGAGGAAGAUCCAAAGUGACUCUAAUGACAUAGAAAACACUGUUAGAACCAUCAGAGACCUCAGCCUGCACAAGUCUGCACAUAGAGCCACACAACGCUCUACUGUUUACUACCAACCACUUCAGGUCACAUAUUGUAUACAGGCCAGUCAUACCUCCACACUCAGGUUUGUUUACAAUAAAAGUACUUUAGUGUGUGUUUUACAUUAUAUUGUUUUCCCUGUGUAACAUUCCCUUCAGGCUCCUGAUCAUUCCAGUGAUUGUUGAUUGUCUAUUCGCUCUGUCUUUUUUUUCUACUUUUUCUGAUGAAUUUUGGUCUUAAAGUCUUAAUAGCAUUUGAAUUCAUAACGUGGACUCUUUUUAUAUUCUUAUAAUGUAUUGCAUGCAUUGAGAGUGCGGUGGUGGGGCCACAGGGGGGGGUUUGUAAUUGUGACUACAAUAAAGAAACGCUUUGUCUUUGUACUCAUCACAUUGAGAAAUGACUAAGUUUUCAUUAUUUUCCCUGUUUCCAUUCAAGAUUAACACAAACACGUUAUGAUUAACUUUAACAACAUUACUGUUAAUAUGAGCAGAGAAGUAAAGUAAAGUAAUUUUCCCUGUAUUUAAUCCACUAUUCUGGAAGAAUUUUGACUGAGAAUUGACAGUGUAGUGUAGACUGGGUGCUUAAGCUAGCUUAAGUUGACAUAAUUUUGGUGUAUUAAUUAAUUCUAACAAAAUAAAAUAAUCCCCCUUCACAGUAAAACAAAGCUCUGCUGAUCGUUCAAGACAGUUUAACAGUAAAUACACAAAAUUCCUGUUUUACAAAAAUUCCAGGUAGUAAUUUUAAUCCCUCAUUAAAAUGUUCCCAAUGACAUAAAAUGUUGUGAACGCAACCAGCAGAUGGCGUAGAUCUUCACUUUCUCUCUCCACAGCAGUGUCUGUGGCGCCAUCUAGUGGUCAUUUAAAUAGUUGCGGCUUCCUGAAAUCGAAAGUGAAAGCAGCUGGACUGGCACAGCUCGGUUCGACAGAGGGGGGUUGGUGGUGGAAAUAAGGUCCGUCCAGUAAGUUUUACAGUCUGUUUAAAAUCCAGUAUGAUAAUUAGAUAAGCUGCACUGAAGCUGAGACAUUUCUAAUAGACUGCUUCAGGAAACUAGUCUACUGUAGACAGAGAGACAGGCAGACAGGCAGACAGACAGAGAGACUGUGUGCUACAGUUGUUGUCAUUUUGCUGAAUUCAGCCCUAAACGUGUGGGGAAAACACCCAACUCUCUCU
ensembl:lncRNA